CUGGCGGCAGCUUACACAUGCAAGUCGAGCGGAGAGAGGUAGCUUGCUACUGAUCUUAGCGGCGGACGGGUGAGUAAUGCUUAGGAAUCUGCCUAUUAGUGGGGGACAACAUUUCGAAAGGAAUGCUAAUACCGCAUACGUCCUACGGGAGAAAGCAGGGGAUCUUCGGACCUUGCGCUAAUAGAUGAGCCUAAGUCGGAUUAGCUAGUUGGUGGGGUAAAGGCCUACCAAGGCGACGAUCUGUAGCGGGUCUGAGAGGAUGAUCCGCCACACUGGGACUGAGACACGGCCCAGACUCCUACGGGAGGCAGCAGUGGGGAAUAUUGGACAAUGGGCGCAAGCCUGAUCCAGCCAUGCCGCGUGUGUGAAGAAGGCCUUAUGGUUGUAAAGCACUUUAAGCGAGGAGGAGGCUACUUUAGUUAAUACCUAGAGAUAGUGGACGUUACUCGCAGAAUAAGCACCGGCUAACUCUGUGCCAGCAGCCGCGGUAAUACAGAGGGUGCAAGCGUUAAUCGGAUUUACUGGGCGUAAAGCGCGCGUAGGCGGCUAAUUAAGUCAAAUGUGAAAUCCCCGAGCUUAACUUGGGAAUUGCAUUCGAUACUGGUUAGCUAGAGUGUGGGAGAGGAUGGUAGAAUUCCAGGUGUAGCGGUGAAAUGCGUAGAGAUCUGGAGGAAUACCGAUGGCGAAGGCAGCCAUCUGGCCUAACACUGACGCUGAG
rnacentral:rRNA from 1 species